AAUAAAACAUAAAUUUCCGUGUUCAACGUUUAACCGUCUGUCUUAUUUAAAAAAAUUAUAAAAAAAAAUAAAAAGACUAAUCACGCAUAAAGUAUUAAUUAUGUUUUAUCAUCUAACAAUAAUGAAAAUACUAAUUAUAAAAAAUUUUCAUAUAAGAUGAACAGUCAACGUUGGACAUGUAAACCCAGAUUUGUUUUUUUU
rfam:Oryza meridionalis cultivar OR44 (W2112) chromosome 1, whole genome shotgun sequence.